GCUGUAGCUCAGUGGUAGAGCAUCUGCUUUAGAUGUAGAAGGUCCCAGGUCCAAUCCCUGGCAUCUCCA